UACGUAGGGUGCGAGCGUUGUCCGGAAUUAUUGGGCGUAAAGAGCGCGCAGGCGGUCGUUCAAGUCGCGUGUGAAAGCCCCCGGCUCAACUGGGGAGGGUCACGCGAUACUGAUCGACUCGAAGGCAGGAGAGGGUAGUGGAAUUCCCGGUGUAGUGGUGAAAUGCGCAGAUAUCAGGAGGAACACCGGUGGCGAAGGCGGGUCUCUGGGCAACAACUGACGCUGAGGAGCGAAAGCGUGGGGAGCGAACAGG
rnacentral:rRNA from 1 species